GGGCCUAUGGCUCAGUGGCAGGGCAUCUUCUUGGCAUACAGAAGGGCCUCGGUUCAGUCCCCAGCAUCUCCA
rnacentral:tRNA from 1 species